rnacentral:lncRNA from 1 species
CACUGGUGGGGGUUCAUCCGUCAGCAGAGCUUGGAAACGUUGCGGAGGCUCGAUCGUCGGAGAGGUUCAGAAAGAUGUCGUCAAAGGUCGGACGUCGAUAGAAUCCCUGGAGGGCCACUCCUAUCACGAACUUCGGCUGGGGGGUAUUUUAUACCCAACAAGAACAUUAUGACUACCCAUCAAAUGUUGGCUCACCUACAAGAGUUGUUUGGUGAACAAAGUCGCGCAGCCAAGUAUCAA